rnacentral:rRNA from 1 species
UAGGGAGCAAGCGUUAUCCGGAUUUACUGGGUGUAAAGGGCGUGUAGGCGGGCGUGCAAGUCAGAAGUGAAAUCUGGGGGCUUAACCCCCAAACUGCUUUUGAAACUGCGGGUCUUGAGUGAUGGAGAGGCAGGCGGAAUUCCCAGUGUAGCGGUGAAAUGCAUAGAUAUUGGGAGGAACACCAGUGGCGAAGGCGGCCUGCUGGACAUUAACUGACGCUGAGGCGCGAAAGCGUGGGGAGCAAA